rnacentral:lncRNA from 1 species
GUGCAGGAACCCUCACCCGCCCGAGCGGGGCCCUGGGCCUCCGGGUCACUCUCUGUGGCGGGGUCUGGCUGCGCGUCAGACGGCCUCCUCCAAUGCCCGCAGUUGCUGUCGCCCCCAGGCCUGGACCGGGGAGUGAGGGGUGGGCCUGACCGGCCCCUGAGCUCCCGUCAGCCCCCCACGCGAGCCCGUCCUGUGCUGGGGGCAGGGAGAUGGGCCGGUGGGAGAGGAGACCGCAUCCAGCCCUCCCUGGCCACCUGCAGGGUCCCCACCGUGGCGGCUGCUUUACUGCUAACUCCUCCCGGGGACCCCAAGUCCCCAUCGCUCUCGGGGGUCCCCCUCAUCCGAACCGCCUCGGAGGAGGGCCGCAUCUCACGCGGAGCACCCCUCCACGCCUGUGACCCUGGACUUGCUCUCCCGCCCCCGCCCGGGCCUCAGGGCUCAGGAGGCCGUGAUGAAGCCAGCAGGUGAACUGCACCCUGGAGCCUCCGACGGGGCGGCCACGGGCAGCGAAGAACCCGGAAAAACAGUACCCUUCUGAGGUUAAUCCGCGUUGAUAGAAGCAGGUGUGGUUCAUCUGGAAUCUGUUGGUGUGAACUGCGCGGCGGCGUCCCCCACCAGGCACCACAGGCCCGGCGGGUGGUGUGGGGGCCGCAUCUCAUGGAGGUCUCCGUCCACGUUGCCCCCAUUGUGACCGCAGCGGGCGCCUCUUGGUAGCAGCCACCGGCCUCUUCUGGGACUCGCCGGAGGGUUUCCACGUCGCCCGCUCCGACGGGGCUGUUCAUCUCCCCUUGAUCUGUGGGACUCCCCGUCCGUCUCAGAUCCCAUGGCUUGUCUCUGACACAAGACGCCAACGAAGAUCGGCAUUUCUGCAACCUCUGGCUUCCAGGAAGGCUGCCUCCCUCCCCAACUUCCUCUGAUCAUCGUGCGGCUGAGGAACAGAUGGGGAACCAGGUGCACAGAGAGGUAUGGCCACCUUCACGGGGUCACACAGGCUGAGAAAUGAUAUGGUGGGUGAUGCAGAUGAGGGUCCAGGGUGCCUGCCCUGGGGAGCAUGAUGAGCAGAUGGCGGUGCAGCCACACGUGGAGGACUCAGCUCCCAGAGCAAUAAAGGGACACCUACGCCAUGCAUGAGGCUGGGAGACUGUGCAGGGGGAAGAAGUCACUCGCCAGGAGCCCAGGUGUGUGGAAUUCUGGAACAGACUAGAUCUACCCUGGACUAACCUGGACUGGAACUAACAGACUAGAACUAACUAGAACGAAUUCUAGAACUAACCUACGGUGGAAAACAUCAGAAUGGCAGUGGCUUCUGGGGGCCAGAGGUAGGAAGGCACUGGGCAGGGGUAUGCAGCAACAUUUUGGGGGCAUUGUCUUUUUUAUUUUUCAGAGGAAGGGUCUUGCUCUGUUGCCCAGGCUGGAGUGCAGUGGCUCAAUCAUGGCUCACUGCAGUCUUGACCUCCUGGGUUCAAGCCAUCCUCCCACCUCAGCCUCCUGAAUAGCUGGGACCACAGGCAUGUGCUGCUACACCUGGCUCAUUUUUUUAUUUUUGUAGAGAUGGGGCCUCCCUGCAUUGCCCAGGCUGGUCUUCAACUCCUGGGCUCCAGUGAUCCUCCCACCUCUGCCUCCCAAAGUGUUGGAAUUAUAGGCGUGAGCCACCGCACCCGGCCUGAUGUCUGUCUCUUGAUAAGGGUUUGGGCUGCAGAAGUGGUCCGUUAGUCAGAGCAUUCAGUGGCUCCUUCAGAGUUAUACAUUUCAUGGUAUGUGAAUUUUACUCAAAGCAAUAAAAAAUCUGAAACGAAUAUUGAACUCUAGAUCAUGACAUGCAGUCGGCCGGUUAAGGGGGAGAGAGUACUGGUGCCUGCAACUUGGAAAGAGAUUGAUUAUGGGUGGGCAGAGGGACAGAGAAACAAGAUGAAGCGGGUCUAGCGAAACGUCAGUUGUGGAAUAACAGGUGAUAGCAUCUGGGUGCUCACUGUGAAAUCAUCUCAACUUUUCCAGAUGUUUGAAACAUUUCAAAGUUCAAUAUGAAAAGCAAUGAAAAAGAAUCUGGGCUUUGCAGACAAACUGCUGGGAGGUGGCCACGGCCCAGUAUCUGUGUGGUCCUGGGUGGGUUUCUCAGCCUCACGGUGCCUCAGGGUCCUGACUGUUAAGUGUGGGUGGUAAUAGCACCGCUGCCCACGGCGUGGGUGAAUUAACACAGGCAGGGCACUUAGACAGUGCCUGGCACACAGCAGGUGCUUAAUAAAUGUGCCCUUUGUUGAUGUUAUUCCUCAGCCCUGAAAGUAUCAGCCACGUGUCCUCCAGCUACUCAGAGAUGCUGAGGAACAGCUGGGAUUUGCACUGGGUUCACGUGCAGGGGACCCCAAAGAGCCAAAACAAGCUUGAAAAGGAAAGAACAAAGUGGGAAGACUCAGCUGGGUGCAGUGGCUCAUGCUUGUAAUCUCAGCAUUUUGGGAAGCCAAGGCAGGAGGAUCACUUAAGUCCAGGAGUUCAAGACCAACCUGGGCAACAUAGCAAGACUCCAUCUCUACAAAAAAAAAUUUUAAAUUAGCUGGAUGUGGUGGCAUAUGCCUGUAGUCCCAGCUACUCAGGAGACUAGGGUGGGAGGAUCGCUUGAGCCUAGGAGUUCAAGGCUGCAGUGAGCUAUGAUUGCACCACUGCAUUCUAGCCUGGGCAACAGAGCAAGACUCUGUUUCUAGAAAAAAAAAAAAGUGGGAAGACUCACACUUCCUAUUGUGAAAACUUCCUACGGUAAUGAGGACAGUGUGGUACUGUGGUAAGGACAGAUAUGAACAGCAAUGGGCUAGAACUGAGAGUCCAGAAAUAAACCCUUGUAUUUUUACUCUAUUUAUUUCCAAUAAGGGAGCCAAGACAAUUUGAUGGGGCUAGGGGAAGAGGAGACCUUUGACACAUAGUGCUGGGUCAAGUAGUCACAUGCAAGAGAAUGAAGAUGGACCCUUACCUCACACCAUAUACAAACAUCAACUCAAGAUGCAUCCAAGGCUAGGUGUGGUGGCUCACACCUGUAAUCCCAGCACUUUGGGAGGCCAAGGCAGGUGGAUUACCUGAGGUCAGGAGUUCAAGACCAGCCUGGCCAACAUGGUGAAACCCUGCCUCUACUAAAAACACACACACACACAAAAUUAGCUGGGC